rnacentral:rRNA from 1 species
UACGAGGGGGGCAAGCGUUGUUCGGAAUUAUUGGGCGUAAAGGGCUCGUAGGCGGCCAACUAAGUCAGACGUGAAAUCCCUCGGCUUAACCGGGGAACUGCGUCUGAUACUGGAUGGCUUGAGUUCGGGAGAGGGAUGCGGAAUUCCAGGUGUAGCGGUGAAAUGCGUAGAUAUCUGGAGGAACACCUGUGGCGAAAGCGGCUCACUGGACCAUAACUGACGCUGAUGCACGAAAGCUAGGGGAGCAAACAGG